UGGGGAAUAUUGCACAAUGGGCGAAAGCCUGAUGCAGCCAUGCCGCGUGUGUGAAGAAGGCCUUAGGGUUGUAAAGCACUUUCAGCGAGGAGGAAAGGUUGUUAGUUAAUACCUGACAGCUGUGACGUUACUCGCAGAAGAAGCACCGGCUAACUCCGUGCCAGCAGCCGCGGUAAUACGGAGGGUGCGAGCGUUAAUCGGAAUUACUGGGCGUAAAGCGUGCGUAGGCGGCUACUUAAGUUGGAUGUGAAAGCCCCGGGCUCAACCUGGGAACUGCAUCCAAAACUGGGUGGCUAGAGUGCGAGAGAGGAGUGUGGAAUUUCCUGUGUAGCGGUGAAAUGCGUAGAUAUAGGAAGGAACACCAGUGGCGAAGGCGACACUCUGGCUUGACACUGACGCUGAGGUACGAAAGCGUGGGGAGCAAACAGGAUUAGAUACCCUGGUAGUCCACGCCGUAAACGAUGUCUACUAGUUGUCCGUUGUCUUGUACGAUGGGUAACGCAGCUAACGCGAUAAGUAGACCGCCUGGGGAGUACGGCCGCAAGGUUA
rnacentral:rRNA from 1 species